rnacentral:rRNA from 1 species
UAGGGAAUCUUCGGCAAUGGUCGGAAGUCUGACCGAGCAACGCCGCGUGAGUGAAGAAGGUUUUCGGAUCGUAAAGCUCUGUUGUUAGAGAAGAACGUUGGUAGGAGUGGAAAAUCUACCAAGUGACGGUAACUAACCAGAAAGGGACGGCUAACUACGUGCCAGCAGCCGCGGUAAUACGUAGGUCCCGAGCGUUGUCCGGAUUUAUUGGGCGUAAAGCGAGCGCAGGCGGUUCUUUAAGUCUGAAGUUAAAGGCAGUGGCUUAACCAUUGUACGCUUUGGAAACUGGAGGACUUGAGUGCAGAAGGGGAGGGUGGAAUUCCAUGUGUAGCGGUGAAAUGCGUAGAUAUAUGGAGGAACACCGGUGGCGAAAGCGGCUCUCUGGUCUGUAACUGACGCUGAGGCUCGAAAGCGUGGGGAGCAAACAGG